CAGAUGGGGUCGUGUGGUGGGUUGUAUGGCUUUGAGAGGGAUGCAGGCAGGGUGGUAAGGUGUGCAGUUGGCACCAUGGACAGCGAACAGAGGCUGAUACAGGUGAUCAGUGCGAUGCGGAUGGAAAUCAGAAAGCUGGAGCUGGAGAACAUGGGUCUGAGGAGGACAGCUGGAGCUCAUCUCAGAAAGAAUGUAACUGUUCCCAUCAUGACACCAGAAUGCAGAGAGAGCGUCGUCAUGAAGGUGAGAAGAUACUCCAUCUUCCAGCCGCUGGUCACUCAUCGGAAUUUGCAGCUGGACGAUGCUAAAACAGCAACUGGAAAACAGCAAAGAUGAAAUUUAGCAUGAUAUUAAACUGUAAUUUACCUGACACUGACACAGAAUGGUCGUGUAACGUUGUGCUGUCUGUUUAAAAAGUAACGUUAGCCUGCUAGCUGUUGGGGAAGGCAAAGCUAGCUUAGCGCUAACUCUAUUUUAGCACUUGAAACCGUUAAACAAAAUAGUGCAUCACUGUCACCAAAUAAAGAAUUUUUUCUGCC